CCUACGGGCUGCAGCAGUGGGGAAUAUUGGACAAUGGGCGAAAGCCUGAUCCAGCCAUGCCGCGUGUGUGAAGAAGGCCUUCGGGUUGUAAAGCACUUUCAGUGGGGAAGAAAGCCUUGGGGCUAAUACCCUCGAGGAAGGACAUCACCCACAGAAGAAGCACCGGCUAACUCCGUGCCAGCAGCCGCGGUAAUACGGAGGGUGCGAGCGUUAAUCGGAAUUACUGGGCGUAAAGCGCGCGUAGGCGGUCUGAUAAGCCGGUUGUGAAAGUCCCGGGCUCAACCUGGGAACGGCAUCCGGAACUGUCAGGCUAGAGUGCAGGAGAGGAAGGUAGAAUUCCCGGUGUAGCGGUGAAAUGCGUAGAGAUCGGGAGGAAUACCAGUGGCGAAGGCGGCCUUCUGGACUGACACUGACGCUGAGGUGCGAAAGCGUGGGUAGCAAACAGGAUUAGAUACCCUAGUAGUC
rnacentral:rRNA from 1 species